rnacentral:rRNA from 1 species
UACAGGGGGGGCAAGCGUUGUUCGGAAUUACUGGGCGUAAAGGGUUCGUAGGUGGCCAACUUAGUCAGACGUGAAAUCCCUCAGCUUAACUGGGGAACUGCGUCUGAUACUGGAUGGCUUGAGUGCAGGAGAGGAACGCGGAAUUCCAGGUGUAGCGGUGAAAUGCGUAGAUAUCUGGAGGAACACCGGUGGCGAAGGCGGCAUCCUGGACCGACACUGACGCUGAGGAGCGAAAGCCAGGGGAGCAAACGGG